AACGAACGCUGGCGGCAUGCCUAACACAUGCAAGUCGAACGAGAUCUUCGGGUCUAGUGGCGCACGGGUGCGUAACGCGUGGGAAUCUGCCCUUUGGUUCGGAAUAACAGUUGGAAACGACUGCUAAUACCGGAUGAUGACGAAAGUCCAAAGAUUUAUCGCCAGAGGAGUAGCCCGCGUAGGAUUAGCUAGUUGGUGUGGUAAAGGCGCACCAAGGCGACGAUCCUUAGCUGGUCUGAGAGGAUGAUCAGCCACACUGGGACUGAGACACGGCCCAGACUCCUACAGGAGGCAGCAGUGGGGAAUAUUGGAAAAUGGGCGAAAGCCUGAUCCAACAAUGCCGAGUGAGUGAUGAAGGCCUUAGGGUUGUAAAGCUCUUUUACACGGGAUGAUAAUGACAGUACCGGGAGAAUAAGCUCCGGCUAACUCCGUGCCAGCCGCCGCCGUAA
rnacentral:rRNA from 1 species